rnacentral:pre_miRNA from 1 species
GGGCAGCCUGACUCGCAGCAGAGAGCUGAUGCCUGUACCUGUGCUGAGGGUCAGGCUGGACUG